rnacentral:lncRNA from 1 species
CCUCAGCAUACUUCUUUUGAGCUCUGAUUUUGAAGAUGUCGACAAGCAGGAGGCAAUCUUCUAUCACCGUGUUGCUACUGCUAGUACUCCUCCAACUCAUCGGUGCUCUCGCUCGACCUGCAUGUAAGCAAGCCUCUCUCCUUUUUUUUUGCAAGAAUAACUUCUGAUAUAUUCAUCAACUAUCAAGGUAGUAUAAAGAACACUAGAAGUAAAAAAUACAUCUAGGUCCGUAGAUCAUCUACCGACGACUACUAGUAAUCGAGCCGAAGGCACGCCGCCAUCUUCGCCCUUCCCUCAUCGGAGCCGGGCAAAUCUUGUCGUAGUACACAGUCGGGAAGUCGUCGUGCUAAGGCCGCAUAGGACCAGCGCACCAGAACAACAUCCGCCGCCAAUGAAGAGAAGCGUAGAUCAGAAGAAUCGAACCUGUAGACACACGAACAUAGACGAAUGAAGACAAGAUCCACGUGGAUCCACCGAAGACAAAUGCCGACCGAAUCCCGCAAGAUCCGCCAGAGACAAACCUCCACACGCCCUCUGACGAUGCUACAAACGAUAUCAGGAUGGGGACAAGGCGGGGAGAACCUUAUAUCAUCUGUAGAGAGUCGCCGCCACCUCCACUCUCUGAGCAGGACACUAUCCCUAACAAAACUCAAAAGAGUAUGAAAAAACGGAGCCCUCCCACUGGCAAGGGCCGGGAUCCACCAUGCCUCCAUGACCCUAAGACCACAGAAGACGAGGUAGACCGACGGAGCACCGGCGGGAGGCACAAGAAACCCUAGCCAAAGGUCCUCUUUCUUUCUUUCUGUGGAAGAAAGAAAACGGGCGGCAUGUAAGCAAGCCUCUCAGGUGCACGACACAGCUGAGAUUGUAGUGUUUUGUCAAAAAAAAUUGUAGUUUCUAGGAAUCCUAACUGGAAUUGAGGUAGUUUUUUACUUACCUUUUUAUGAGAAUCUUUAAAAUCUUUACUUCUACGGGACACUAGCCACACUACGCAUGUGUGACGCGUUGGUUCACCUUUGGAAAAUACCACAUGGUUCAGACUUCUGUUCAAGUCGUCACCAGUAACCUCAGCCACAAGAUAACACGUUAAUUUGAACAUGACGUGCUGUGUCAGGUAAACCAAUUCAACGGACGGUCUUGGAAUUUUUCAUGUGACUCGGUCAGUGACGACUGGUCAUGUCCAUAUCAUCCCUGUCGCAAUCUCCACUAAUUUUGAGUUUACCGGGCAGGGAAAUUUUAGACGGUUAGAUUGAAAAGUUGUACAUGAAUUGCAUUUUAAUUGAUGCACCGGCGACUGUUUUAUUUUCAUAACAUAGUACAAUCGUAGAUGCUCAAAUACAUGUACAUGCAUUCAUUCUUAUGAAUGCACACAAUCACAAACUACUCCUAUGAGCAUCUCAGAGAUACUAAGACGGCACAAUAUCUUGAGAUUGAUUCUUUUAAAGACCAGUAGGGCGAGGAGCCCCUACGGCUUUUUAAUUAAGAGAGAAUGUGAGACAGAACGCUCGGACCCGUGUCAGCUAUGAGACGCCACCACGCUCGGAACACUGGGCUAGAAGUCCAUCCACACAUCUUGAGAUUGAUAAAGUGACCAUAGAAGCCUCGUAGUUGAAUCCUCUACACAUCUUGGGAUUGAUAAAGUCCCACACCAGCAAAGAUUGGCCGGUCCAGGGCUGAACCUUGACUAAAUCAACUCACAUUAACAUACUUUGUUUGACUUUGACCCGAUGUUGUGCUAUGGCCUGAAGCGUUCAACAAAUCCUUGUGGUUGGCACGUCAGCUUUCUUUUAGCGUUGAUGAGAGAAUAUGUGAGAAGGCCAAGGAGGUUUUUUUUUUGAGAAUAGGUCAAGGAGUUUGUUUCUGAAACGAACAAGAAACAAUUUUUGUUUACAACUAGAAACAAAAAACAUUAGAUGGAAACUAUUAGUAUUUAGUUAUUUCUAUGUACGGUACUUUAUCAGAGUGCGAUUCGAGCGAUAUAUACUUUUUUAGAAAUAAAAAAACACGCAACGAGUUACCGACCGUGAACAGUUUUACGAAGGCACAUGAAGGCUUGCAGCUACGUUUAUUUAAGGAAUAACAAGGAGUGAGCGUAUUUCAACUGAAUAUUUUUUUGAUAAAGAUUUUUGAACUGAAUAUAAGGGUCAAAAGUGUUAUAAGACAAGCAUCAUAACCUCCUUUUCUCGAGAUCAUUCAUCAUGAUACAAAAUUUGUGGCCAUACAGUGCAAACAUCAAGAGGUAACAAGAAAAUGAAUCUUUUUGAAAAACAGUGUUCCCACACGACGCCAUCAUGUGGGGAACUACGGUCUACCAAAGUCAUUGCACACCCACCAACGCGGACCGCCGAACCGGGCACUGAUGCACCCUGGCUAAGCCAAUCCUCCACUUGGGAGUGAUGUGGGUCACGAGCAAAGAUCGCCCGGUCCUGAGCCGAACCUUGAGUGAUCAUGAGAAGGGAGGGGGCGGGAAAAGGGUAAGCAAGAGUUCCAUGUGCAUCAACGGUGGCGGCUGCGACAUAAUCAAAUGUUGUACUUUUAGAAGUACCGGCUCUUAGAGCUACAAUGUCGGUAGUGCGAGUCUCGGCAAAAGACCAUGUGGCUAGGUCAUCCAUAGAAGUUUUUUCUGUUUUUUCCAGAAAAAAUUCAUGCAUAGCAGUUGGAAUAUUGUGCUAAAAAUUGACGGAAGCUAAUAUAUAAGCAAAGUGCGAUACCCGAAUCCCCAACUGAGUGUCUCAGUAUAUGGUGUCUGUGAGCUUUGCUUGAGAAGAUGUCAACAAGUUGGAGGCCUUGGUUUAUCGUCGUGUUGCUGCUUCUAGUGUUCCUACAGCUCAUCACUGUGCACGCCGGCCCCACAAUCUGUAAGGAAGCAUCUAAAUUGUAUGACUUUAAUACACUCAUGUGUAAUGUUGAUAUGUAUCAAUAUUACCGACCCAUUUUACUUUGUGUAAUGUAUAGUUUCACCAUCAGUCGACUCUCCUGGGUAAAUAUUAUGUACUUUGCUAUUUUGUCAAGCUAUUAUCAAAGGUGAAUCCUUAUCGAUUAUAUAGUCUUUUUUUGCAAGCUAAUGAUUAUAUAUGUUGUGUAAAUGUGACACUUUGAGUCAAUACAACAUCAUUUAUAUUUACCCAAAUAAAUAAUCCUCAAGCUUGCAUUCAGGAGGAUACAAAGCUUGCCAUUACGAACUGUGAGCUGAUCUGUCUAGAAGUUUUAGAUCUGUACUGGUUAAAUCAUAUUGUAGUAGACGUGAAUAAUUUGUAGGUUAUUCGUGGAAUUACGUUUGGGUAAUUCUGAAAUUUCAAUGAUACAUUAAAACUAAGUUUAGACCGAGUGUAAUUCAACUCUAGGGCUAUACAGGUGUACUCAAGAUCAAAAUUUAACUAUAAUGGGACCAUAUCAGACAUAAGGCAUUAGCCAUUUCGAUGGUGCCCAAGGAACAUAUUUGAACUGAGCCGAGUUUGCUGAAAAGCCAGCCGUAAACCUACUUAAUGUCGAAUAUGGCAUCUUUUUUGUGGGGAUAAAUGAAAAUAUGAGGUAGAAGCUUUCCUUUGGAACUUGAGUUUGUACGAAAGAUCCAAAAAAAGGUUCCUGUGUCAUAGCUUCUCCAAAAACUUGUCUGAUCCAAUAAUACAAAUGAAUAAGUUUUGGGUAUUGGUAGUAAGUUUUCUAUUCAUAUUUAUAAAUCUGUUAUUUUAGGUAUCAAACUCUUUUAGUAAAUUUAAAUAGUACCCCAUUCAUUUCAAUACAUGGUGCGUAUAGAAUUUCUCAAACUUUGUAAAGUUUGGUCAAGCCAACUUGCUCAAACUUUUGAAAGUUUGACUAAGAACACAAUCUAUAUGCACUAUAUUUGGCAUGGUGUAAUGCAUUAUAUAUGUUGAAAUUUUGAAAUCUUUUGUUAGGUGGAGUAUAGUUUAUCUCACCGCUGAAGAGAUCAACGUUGAGAACUGGUGAAGUACACAUAUAUGUCAUUGUCUUAAUCUGUUCUUUCCAAUCUAUGUGCAGGCAACUAUCUUCGUCGAAAAAAUUGUCGCCGUAAAUAAACCAUGAACUGAAGUACGGAAAACGUGGGCAUGCUUGAUUUGUUGGGUUAGGUACAUAAUCGUCAUAUAGAUUGUUCGAUUUCCCAAGAAAUGAAAUGAAGUUGGAAAAAGUGUACCACUAGGAAUGAAGGUUUGGCCAGCUCUCUGGGAGUAACUUCAAGAUCACCAAGAUUAUGUAAUCAUAUUGUUAGCUCAUCGAAAAGUUUAAUGUCGCCUUCUACAUGCAUUUUG